AUGUGGUUAAUUACAUUUUUUAGGUUGAAGAAGAAAAGGAAAGUAUCAACUUCCUCCUCCUCCUCCUCCUCCUCAUCAUCAUCAUCAAGUGAUUCUUCAUCAGAUGUAUCAAUUUCUUCUUCCUCUUCUUCCUCUGAUCACAAGAAACAUAGAAAAAAACGUCGGAAUAGAUCCGAGUCUGGCCACAGCUCCAAAAAAUGCUCAUCUAGAGCUUCUUCCCAUUAUAAAGAUCAGAUUAGGAAAGAGGAGUGGUAUUCGCCUCCGGCUGAUACCUCAGCUUCCUUUCUUAACCAAAAUUUUGAAGUGGAAAAACUGCUGGAAAGGCAGGACAGCUUAGUGUGUCCAAAAACAGAAGUAAGAGAGAAAGACAGACACUGUUCUUUUUCGAGGACUUCAGGUGAUGAUGAAGACACUUUUGGAGGUAGGUCUGAAGAUUCAAGAGAUUCUUACAGUAGCUCCAGAAUUCUGCCAAGUAGUAGCAAAACUGAAAAAUAUGGUAAAACUGAUAGAUUUUUCUCCAGUUGGAGGGGUUCUUCAGGUUCAUACCGUAAGUCAGAUGAUGAACCCAGGCUGCAUUAUUUUAGGAAAUUAGAAAGGGACGUAGAGGGGAGAAAAGAGCAGUUUAAAAGACAUGGCUCAGGUCAAGACAGGUGUCAUACGUCUCCAGCAGGGUCUGAUUAUUCUGGCAAGUCAGUGGGAAAGUACAGAUUGUAUUCUAGCACCUGCUUACGUGAAGGUGAUAAAAGUUACGAUAGUGAUAGGCAUGUGUUAAGCCAGCAUAAAAAUGAAAGCGAGUAUAAGAAUAGGAAAAGAAGCUAUGAGGAGACUAGUAAAACAAAGGAACCAGAGGAGGAAAUGUCUUUAAAUGGUACCGCACAAACAGAAAGUGGCAUUAAAAGAAACCUGCCCCAGAACUUAGUUAACAUAUUCAAUCAAAUAGCUGAAUUUGAGAGGGAAAAAGGAAGUAAGCAGAAGAAGCAGUAAAGUACCUAAGAAAAUGCUAUUCUGAUGAGCGUAGUUAAAUGAACUUUUAUCCGAGUAUCGAUCUCUUGAGGAAAUGCAUAUGAAGAGCGAUAGAAAGGCAGAAUUUGUUCUGUCUCGCAGAACGUCAAAGAAUUCUUAAAGAUGGCGUGGUGGAAAGAGAUGCAAGGAUAUCUUACAUAAAAUACCAGUUCCUAUUUAAAAUCUUAAGUUUCCUGUGCUUUUUUAACUUGGGAUGUUCUUGUACAGUAUGCUCUCUCUGAUGGGUUGAAAUCCUUUGAUACCCCUGGACUGUAGUUAGUUGUGGAACUCACAUCAAAUAUGCACUUUAACAACAGAUGGUUUUUGGUUGGGUUGGGUUUUUUUUUUUUUUGGUCCCCUGGGGUACUAUUGAGUUAUUUUUGUAUCAAACUUAACUUUAGCUAUAGAAAGGGGAUAACUGAGAGAAAGUCAGUCAUGUGCUGUCAAUGUAUAUAGCUCAUUUGAUCAUUAAAUUUUCUUAAUUUUUUCUUAAUUCUGUGUCUUGAUUCUUGUUAACGGCGCUGGGAUGUUUCAUACUGGUGCACUGGUUAUAUAUGCUGCUUAAGUGAACGGAACCCUCCAGUGUCUGUGAAGGCAAGUGUAUUACAUUCUUUAAACACAUCAAACACGUUCUCUAAGAAAUGUAUAAAAAAAAAAAACAAAACCAAAAACCACAACAGAAGUAGAAGAGAGAAUUUUAAAACAGCGUUUAUUGUCUAGGUAAGUUCAAGUGUGGGCCUUUGUUUUUUGUCUGGGUUUUUUUGUUGUUAGGUAUUUGCUUUACAAGUAGCUUGAAGGCAGUGGUUGCAUUGCUGUGGAAAAAGUUACGCUCUAUUUACAAUGAGUUCUCCAAAGAUGGUUGGCAGAACACGC